rnacentral:rRNA from 1 species
UACGGAGGGUGCAAGCGUUACUCGGAAUCACUGGGCGUAAAGCGCGCGCAGGCGGCUUUGUAAGUUGGAUGUGAAAUCCUAUGGCUCAACCAUAGAACUGCAUCCAAAACUACUUAGCUAGAGUCUGGGAGGGGAAGAUGGAAUUAGUGGUGUAGGGGUAAAAUCCGUAGAGAUCACUAGGAAUACCAAAAGCGAAGGCGAUCUUCUGGAACAGUACUGACGCUGAGGCGCGAAAGCGUGGGGAGCAAACAGGAUUAGAUACCCUGGUAGUCCACGCCCUAAACGAUGAAUGUUAGUCGUCGGGUAGCUAGUCUAUUCGGUGAUGCAGUUAACACAUUAAACAUUCCGCCUGGGGAGUACGGUCGCAAGAUUAAAACUCAAAGGAAUAGACGGGGACCCGCACAAGUGGUGGAGCAUGUGGUUUAAUUCGAAGAUACGCGAAGAACCUUACCUGGCCUUGACAUUGAUAGAAUCUGCUAGAGAUAGCGGAGUGCCUUUCGGGGAGCUUGAAAACAGGUGCUGCACGGCUGUCGUCAGCUCGUGUCGUGAGAUGUUGGGUUAAGUCCCGCAACGAGCGCAACCCUCGUUCUUAGUUACUAACGGUUCGGCCGAGGACUCUAAGAAGACUGCCUUCGCAAGGAGGAGGAAGGUGAGGACGACGUCAAGUCAUCAUGGCCCUUACGGCCAGGGCAACACACGUGCUACAAUGGGUAGGACAAUGAGACGCGAUACCGCGAGGUGGAGCAAAUCUAUAAACCUAUUCUCAGUUCGGAUUGUAGUCUGCAACUCGACUACAUGAAGCUGGAAUCACUAGUAAUCGUAGAUCAGCUAUGCUGCGGUGAAUACGUUCCCGGGUCU